GACGAACGCUGGCGGCGUGCCUAAUACAUGCAAGUCGAACGCAGUGGGGACGGGUGAGUAACACGUGGGUAACCUCCCAUCAGAGGGGAUAAAACUUGGAAACAGGUGCUAAACCGAUCCUGAUGGAUGGACCCGCGGUGCAUUAGCUAGUUGGGGAGGUAACGGCUCACAAAGGCCACGCAGCAGAGGCGGCCUGGUGGGGGGAGCGGCCAUAAUGGGACUGAGACACGACCCAGAGUCCUACGUGUGGAAGCAGUAGGGAAUCUUCGGCGAUGGACGAAAGUCUGACCGAGCAACGCCGCGGGAGUGAAGAAGGUUUUCGGAGCGUAAAACUCUGGUGUUAGAGAAGCGGUAUCUAACCAGAAAGCCACGGCUAACGACGUGCCAGCAGCCGCGGUAAUAC
rnacentral:rRNA from 1 species